rnacentral:lncRNA from 7 species
UGCAAGGCCUGGGUGGACCCAUGGGAGGAGCCCAACCCUGGGCCAGGACGUGGCACACUGCAGGUUGGCCAGAUGGGUCAAGGGCAUAACUGAUGCCCCAUCCUGCUAUGGCUCAUGCCCCCUCCCUGUUUUGCAGGUGCUGAGGGACAGACACGUGGGCCACGGUGCUCCUGCUCCAGCUGCAACCGCUGCAGCAAAGCUGAGCAGGAGCUACAGCAGCUGGUGUUGCCGGCUCUCCCAGAGCACGUGGCCACUCUGGGCCCUGAGUUCUGGGAUGCGGCCUGGCGGGACCUGGAAAAGCUGGUGGAGCAAGGAAGCCUAUCCUGCUGCAGCUCCCCCAGCUCCUCCACACAGCUGGGGACAGUUGUACGUGAGAGCAUCAUGCAGACAGGUGCCGCUGUACGUUGGUGGGAGCAGAAGGAACAGCAGCCUGUUGGAUUGUCCAAGCGUCCACAAGAAGUACCCCACAUGCAAAAGACAGUAAGACCAGCAGCAGCAGCACCUUCACGCCUGGCUACGGAAGAUGACUGCUGCAGUGCAGCCAGCCAGCGUCUGAGCUGUGCCGUCUGUGGCAGGAGACGUGCAGAGCAGGCAGGCAGGCAGAGCGUGAAUGGCUGGCACUCGUGGCAGCGGGUGGCCCCCACAGCCCACCGGACAAAUCGUCAGGGCUCCAAGCCAGGCAGGGGAGCCACAGAGCAGCCCCCGCAGACCUGCACCUGCACCUGCAUGCGUCCACCUGCGCAUGAGGGACUUCAUCAACCAAAGCAGGGACAACGUUGCUGGGACAACAAGGCCCAGGAGCCUUCUGCAUUGCCUGUGUCCUGCCGAAUGCAUUGUGAGUGCUGUAAGACAGCGGGAUCCAAGAGGGAUGCACAGAAGCCAGAGCAGCACAGCAUAAGAAAUACGAACCGGCACGUGCAGUCGCCCCCCAGGCAUGCUGAGGAAGAGAUGUGGGGCUCCAAAGCAGACAGAGGUGCCCAAAGGCAGCCUCACGGGAUCUGCUCCUGCUUGCUGCCACCAGCGCGUGGGACAACGGUGCGUAGCAUUGCCUAUGGCUCCAUUGAGUGGCUAUGUUGGCGGUAGGAGGUGGCCCCGCAGGUUCCCGCAUGGCUCUUGGCCACCCCGGCACGUCCCAAGUCCCAGCCUGAAUACAGGGCAGCAGCACAGGCAGCACAAACAGCUUCAGUGCUGCCCGUGGAGGACAACGGCUGCCACGCCAACGUCACCGCUGUGGGAAGUGCAGAGAGCCAACCCGGCCCGAUGCCACCUCCUUCCGCGAGCGCACCUCGAGGAAGCAGAGG